rnacentral:rRNA from 1 species
CUGAAUUUAAGCAUAUUAAUGAGGGGAGGAAAAGAAACUAACAAGGAUUUUCUUAGUAGCGGCGAGCGAAAAGAAAAUAGUUCAGCACUAAGUCACUUUGUCUUUAUGGCAAAUGUGAGAUGCAGUGUAUGGAAUGUCAAAUUUCUAGUAUGAGAAAUUAACGAUUUAAGUCCUUCUUAAAUGAGGCCAUUUACCCAAAGAGGGUGCCAGGCCCGUAUAACGUUAAUGAUUACUAGAUGGCAUUUCCAAAGAGUCGUGUUGCUUGAUAGUGCAGCACUAAGUGGGUGGUAAACUCCAUCUAAAACUAAAUAUAACCAUGAGACCGAUAGUAAACAAGUACCGUGAGGGAAAGUUGAAAAGAACUCUGAAUAGAGAGUUAAAUAGUACGUGAAACUGCUUAGAGGUUAAGCCCGAUGAACCUGAAUAUCCGUUAUGGAAAAUUCAUCAUUAUGAUUGUAAUAUUAAUAAUAUUAAAAUAAUGGUGUGCAUUUUUUCUAUAAAGGACAUUGUAAUCUAUUAACAUAAAAAUAUUUAUCACAAGAUCGUUGGCUUAAGUUUAUUCGAAUUAUUUUGCUUGCAAUUUAAUACAGAAUAAAUGCUUUCGAUUUGAUAAAGUGUUGAUAGAUUUAUUAUAAUAUAGUGCUUAAAUAUUUAUAUUUUAUAAUAGCAUAUUAAUCAUUGAUUUUUAUGUUUAUUAUAUGCACUUAUAUGAUUAACAAUGCGAAAGAUUCAGGAUACCUUCGGGACCCGUCUUGAAACACGGACCAAGGAGUCUAACAUAUUUGCAAGUUAUUGGGAAUGAAAACCUAAUAGCGAAAUUAACAUAACUUUAAUUAUGGGAUUAGUUUUUAGCCUAUUUAUAGUCUAUUAAUUCAAUCCCGGGGCGUUCUAUACAGUUAUGUAUAAUAAUAUUUAUAUUAUUUAUACCUCUAACUAGAGCGUACCUUGAGCAUAUAUGCUGUGACCCGAAAGAUGGUGAACUAUACUUGAUCAGGUUGAAGUCAGGGGAAACCCUGAUGGAAGACCGAAACAGUUCUGACGUGCAAAUCGAUUGUCAGAAUUGAGUAUAGGGGCGAAAGACCAAUCGAACCAUCUAGUAGCUGGUUCCCUCCGAAGUUUCCCUCAGGAUAGCUGGUGCAUUUAAAAAUUAUGUAAAAUAAUCUUAUCUGGUAAAGCGAAUGAUUAGAGGCCUUAGGGUCGAAACGACCUUAACCUAUUCUCAAACUUUAAAUGGGUAAGAACCUCACCUUUCUUGGUAUGAAGGUUGUGGUUGUGAUAUAAUGUGCCCAGUGGGCCACUUUUGGUAAGCAGAACUGGCGCUGUGGGAUGAACCAAACGUAAUGUUACGGUGCCCAAAUUAACAACUCAUGCAGAUACCAUGAAAGGCGUUGGUUGCUUAAAACAGCAGGACGGUGGACAUGGAAGUCGUAAUCCGCUAAGGAGUGUGUAACAACUCACCUGCCGAAGCAACUAGCCCUUAAAAUGGAUGGCGCUUAAGUUGUAUACCUAUACAUUACCGCUAAAGUAGAUGGUUUAUGUUCAAUCUCGGUUGGAUUAUAAACUUUGAAACUUUAGUGAGUAGGAGGGUAUAAUGGUGAGCAUAGAAGUGUUUGGCGUAAGCCUGCAUGGAGCUGCCAUUGGUACAGAUCUUGGUGGUAGUAGCAAAUAAUCGAAUGAGACCUUGGAGGACUGAAGUGGAGAAGGGUUUCGUGUGAACAGUGGUUGAUCACGAGUUAGUCGGUCCUAAGUUCAAGGCGAAAGCCGAAAAUUUUCAAGUAAUAAUGAAAAGGAACUGUAAAAAGUUGACUUAGUAGUUUACCACUUGAAUAAUUUUGAACGAAAGGGAAUACGGUUCCAAUUCCGUAACCUGUUGAGUAUCCGUUUGUUAUUAAAUAUGGGCCUUGUGCUCAUCCUGGCAACAGGAACGACCAUAAAGAAGCCGUCGAGAGAUAUCGGAAGAGUUUUCUUUUCUGUUUUAUAGUCGUACUACCAUGGAAGUCUUUCGAAGAGAGAUAUGGUAGAUGGACUAGAAGAGCAUGACAUUUACUGUUGUGUCGAUAUUUUCUCCUCGGACCUUGAAAAUUUAUGGUGGGGUCACGCAAACUUCUCAACAGGCCGUACCAAUAUCCGCAGCUGGUCUCCAAGGUGAAGAGUCUCUAGUCGAUAGAAUAAUGUAGGUAAGGGGA